rnacentral:tRNA from 2 species
GCAGGAGCUGAGCACUGGUGAGCUCAUUCGGUUGUAACCCGGACGCAUUGCUGUGGUGGUUCGAAUCCAUCCUCCUGCAC